CAGUAGCCGCGGUAAUACGUAGGGUGCAAGCGUUAAUCGGAAUUACUGGGCGUAAAGCGUGCGCAGGCGGUUUGUUAAGACAGAUGUGAAAUCCCCGGGCUCAACCUGGGAACUGCAUUUGUGACUGGCAAGCUAGAGUCUGGCAGAGGGGGGUGGAAUUCCGCGUGUAGCAGUGAAAUGCGUAAAUAUGCGGAGGAACACCGAUGGCGAAGGCAGCCCCCUGGGCCAACACUGACGCUCAUGCACGAAAGCGUGGGGAGCAAACAGGAUUAGAUACCCGCGUAGUCCCUGUCUCUUAUAC
rnacentral:rRNA from 1 species